UACGAAGGGGGCGAGCGUUGUUCGGAUUUACUGGGCGUAAAGGGCGCGCAGGCGGCGCAUUUUGUCAGGCGUGAAAGCCCCGGGCUUAACCUGGGAACUGCGUUUGAAACUGGGGAGCUGGAGUGUGGAAGAGGGGGGUGGAAUUCCAGGUGUAGCAGUGAAAUGCGUAGAGAUCUGGAGGAACACCAAUGGCGAAGGCAGCCCCCUGGGCUAACACUGACGCUCAUGCACGAAAGCGUGGGGAGCAAACAGG
rnacentral:rRNA from 1 species